rnacentral:rRNA from 1 species
GACGAACGCUGGCGGCGUGCCUAAUACAUGCAAGUAGAACGCACAGUUUAUACCGUGGUUUGCUACACCAUUUACUGUGAGUUGCGUACGGGUGAGUAAACCUUCGUUAAACUGGCUGGUAGCGGGGGAUAACUAUUGGAAAUACUAGCUAAUACCACAUAAUAUUAAUUAUUGCCUUAUAAUUAGUUAAUAGGUCCCUUUGCACUGCUACUAGAUGGUCCUGCGUUGUAUUAGCUAGUAGGGGAGGUAACGGCUCACCUAGGUGACGAUACAUAGCCGACAUGAGAGGGUGAUCGGCCACACUGGGACUGAGACACGGCCCAGACUCCUACGGGAGGCAGCAGUAGGGAAUCUUCGGCAAUGGACGAAAGUCUGACCGAGCAACGCCGCGUGAGUGAAGAAGGUUUUCGGAUCGUAAAGCUCUGUUGUAAGAGAAGAACGGGUGUGAGAGUGGAAAGUUCACACUGUGACGGUAUCUUACCAGAAAGGGACGGCUAACUACGUG